UGAUUAAGCCAUGCAAGUCGAGAGGGUUCGGCCCUCGGCGUACUGCUCAGUAACACGUGGAUAACCUGCCCUAGGGAAGGGGAUAAUCCCGGGAAACUGGGGAUAAUACCCUAUAGGUUACAGAUGCUGGAAUGCUCUGUAAUCAAAAGUUCCGGCGCCCUAGGAUGGAUCUGCGGCCGAUUAGGUUGUUGUUGGGGUAAUGGCCCAACAAGCCAGUAAUCGGUACGGGUUGUGGGAGCAAGAGCCCGGAGUUGGAUUCUGAGACACGAAUCCAGGCCCUACGGGGCGCAGCAGGCGCGAAAACUUUACAAUGCGGGCAACCGUGAUAAGGGAACCUCGAGUGCCUGUAAAUGCAGGCUGUUCAGAUGCCUAAAACACAUCUGGAGAAAGGGCCGGGCAAGACCGGUGCCAGCCGCCGCGGUAAUACCGGCGGCUCGAGUGGUGGCCACUUUUAUUGGGCUUAAAGCGUUCGUAGCUGGGUUGUUAAGUCUCUUGGGAAAUCUGGCGGCUUAACCGUCAGGCGUCUAAGGGAUACUGGCAAUCUUGGAACCGGGAGAGGUGAGGGGUACUUCGGGGGUAGGAGUGAAAUCCUGUAAUCCUCGAGGGACCACCUGUGGCGAAGGCGCCUCACCAGAACGGCUUCGACAGUGAGGGACGAAAGCUGGGGGAGCAAACCGGAUUAGAUACCCGGGUAGUCCCAGCCGUAAACUAUGCGCGUUAGGUGUAUCGGUGACCACGAGUUACCGAGGUGCCGAAGGGAAACCGUGAAACGUGCCGCCUGGGAAGUACGGUCGCAAGGCUGAAACUUAAAGGAAUUGGCGGGGGAGCA
rnacentral:rRNA from 1 species